GGAGAGAUGGCAGAGCGGACGAUUGCGUCGGUCUUGACAACCGUUGUACCAGCGAUGGUACCGGGGGUUCGAAUCCCCCUCUCUCCGCCA
rnacentral:tRNA from 1 species